rnacentral:rRNA from 1 species
UACGUAGGGGGCUAGCGUUGUCCGGAAUCAUUGGGCGUAAAGCGCGUGUAGGCGGUCCGGUAAGUCCGCUGUGAAAGUCGGGGGCUCAACCCUCGAAAGCCGGUGGAAACUGUCGGGCUAGAGUGCGGAAGAGGCGAGUGGAAUUCCUGGUGUAGCGGUGAAAUGCGCAGAUAUCCGGAGGAACACCAGGGGCGAAAGCGGCCGACUGGUCGAGUACUGACGCUGAGGCGCGACGGCGUGGGGAGCAAACCGG